UACGUAGGGACCGAGCGUUGUCCGGAAUCAUUGGGCGUAAAGAGCGUGUAGGCGGCCUGUUAAGUCUUGCGUGAAAUCUCGGGGGCUCGACCCCGAGCGGUCGUGAGAAACUGGCAGGCUAGAGUGCGGGAGAGGAGAGUGGAAUUCCUGGUGUAGCGGUGAAAUUCGUAGAUAUCGGGAGGAACACCGGUGGCGAAGGCGGCGACCUGGGGUAGAUACUGACGCUGAGGUGCGAAAGCGUGGGGGAGCAAACAGG
rnacentral:rRNA from 1 species